rnacentral:rRNA from 1 species
CAGCCGCCGCGGAAAUACGUAGGGUGCAAGCGUUAAUCGGAAUUACUGGGCGUAAAGCGUGCGCAGGCGGUUUUGUAAGACAGAGGUGAAAUCCCCGGGCUCAACCUGGGAACUGCCUUUGUGACUGCAAGGCUAGAGUACGGCAGAGGGGGAUGGAAUUCCGCGUGUAGCAGUGAAAUGCGUAGAUAUGCGGAGGAACACCGAUGGCGAAGGCAAUCCCCUGGGCCUGUACUGACGCUCAUGCACGAAAGCGUGGGGAGCAAACAGGAUUAGAUACCCGCGUAGUCCCUGUCUCUUAUAC